rnacentral:rRNA from 1 species
UGCAGCAGGUGCGAAAUCUAGCGCAAUGUGAGCAUUCGCGACGGAGAGAUCGCAAGGGGCAUUUUGAACGGGAAGACUUUUCGUGACGUGUAAAGAGCUUUUGGAAUAACAGCUGGGCAAGACCGGUGCCAGCCGCCGCGCAUAACACCGGCAGCUCCAGUGGUAGCAGUUGUUAUUGGGCUUAAAGCGUCCGUAGCCGCUUUAAUAAGUCUCUGGUGAAUUCGUAGCAGUUUAGCUGUUCGAAGCAGCUGAAGAGUCGGUUAUACUUGAGAUCUUGAGAUGUUAGGAGUACUCCCGUGGGUAGAGGUUAAAUUCGGUAAUCUUAAAAGGUCUAGCCCGCUGCGAACGCGUCUGACUGAGACGAUUCAGACGGUGAGGGAUGAAAGCGAGGGGCACGGACCGGAUCAGGUACCGGAGUAGUCCUACGCUUAAUACGAUGCGGAAUUGAUGUGGGGGUGGCGUUGAGCUGUCCCGUCCCGGACCAGAAGCGAAGAAGUCCAGUCAACUGGGCAGCACGGUCGCUAGAGUGACACGUAAGGAACUUGGCGGGGGAGCACCCCACCGCGUGGAGCCUGCGGGCUAAUUG